rnacentral:rRNA from 1 species
AACGAACGCUGGCGGCAGGCUUAACACAUGCAAGUCGAACGCGUGUAGCAAUACACGAGUGGCGCACGGGUGAGUAACACGUGGAUAUCUGCCUUUUGGUUCGGAAUAACUCCGGGAAACUGGAGCUAAUACCGGAUGGUUCCUACGGGAUAAAGAUUUAUCGCCAAAAGAUGAGUCCGCGCACGAUUAGCUAGUUGGUGAGGUAAUGGCUCACCAAGGCGACGAUCGUUAGCUGGUCUGAGAGGACGAUCAGCCACACUGGGACUGAGACACGGCCCAGACUCCUACGGGAGGCAGCAGUGGGGAAUAUUGGACAAUGGGGGCAACCCUGAUCCAGCCAUGCCGCGUGAGUGAUGAAGGCCUUCGGGUUGUAAAGCUCUUUUGGCGGGGACGAUGAUGACGGUACCCGCAGAAUAAGCCCCGGCUAACUUCGUGCCAGCCGCCGCAGUAACAC